rfam:Amphimedon queenslandica AMPQTscaffold_2679_Cont25319, whole genome shotgun sequence.
AUGGCCGAUUCCAAACUGCCCGAUGCCCAAGCGGGUUAUGAGAAGGGCUAUACCACCGCCCUUGCCGGGCAUUGCGGGGCCAAUCUGGUCUACGAAUCGG